CAAUUUGCGAUCCAUAAUAAGCAAAACCAUUCGUACUAUGAAAAAAAUACAAUUGAACCAAGAGAAUUAAACAAUCACUCCUACAAAUCAAAACCCCCAAAUUAUUUCUACAAUGAACCCUAAUUUCAUUUUCUCGCAAAUUACAGCAUAAUUAACACACAAUGAACCCUAACUAUUUACGAAUUACAUGACUAUUGCCAGAUACGACCUGAAUUAUGCAUUUAAGUCAACAACAUAUAGAUUAAUUUACGCCUUAUUUUUGAAAGAUAAAUUAGGGUUUCUAAAGUGCUAUUGACGCAAUUACCUGAUUUGAUAUCUACGUCCCCCAAACAAUGGUGGUAAAAUCAAACAAUUUCGCCAAUUUGUUAGUCAGAAUUCGCAAAAUGUGAAGCAAUUUUGUGUAAUCAGCUCAUCAAUUCUACAUUAGUGAAGGAUGUCGUAAGUAUAUAAAGCAGUUUGGAAAAUAUAGCCGUUAUUGUGGGCCCAGCUAACAGAUCCUCUAACGUUGUUCCAAUUUAGGUGGUGAAAGCAAAAUUUUUAUUUUUUAACAGGUGUUAUAAUUAAACUUCGAAAUCUAAAGGUGUUAAAAACAAAAUUAGGUCUUUUAACAGGUGUUUUUUUCUAAUUUAGCCUUAUUAUUAUGGCAGGAAUUAGGAAGAAAAAUGCUGAUUAUAGUAUUACGAUGAGAAUAUUAGCUAAUUGAACGGUAAUUUCCACUUUCGAGAGGUGGAUUCUCUCCUAAUAUGAGCUUUCGAGAGGCUCAUUAUCUCCCAAUAACAAACCACAACAAUAUUCAACAUGAUGAUUAUUCAUCCUAAUGAGCUUAGUUUUAAAAAGUGCGCCUAGGCGUAGCGAGGCGGCCAUCAAAUCGCCUCACAAUUUUGUAGCGUGGCGAAGUUAAGGAGGCACGAGGCGUAGCGAGGCGGCCAUCAAAUCGCCUCGCAGCCUUGUAGCGUGGCGAAAUUAAGGAGGCGCACGCCUCAAGGCUAAGGCGCUGAGGCAUGAGGCGCUAUGAGGCGACGCUUUCUAGAUUUGAGGCGAUUUUGAGACACGUGCUACCAAAAGUAAUAUUUUUUUAAAAAAAAUACACAAACUUUAAUUAAAGAAAAGGAAGAGAGAGAAAACAUAUCUAUUUGAAAACUAAAACCCUAGCUUCCCGAAACCACCCAACUGAUGUUGGGUUUCAGCCGUUUCUCGCCGGAAACCCGCCGAUUCUCGCUGGAAACGACCCGAGCUGUGGUGGAUCUCGCCGAGAACCAGGAACAUGAAUGAAGAGUCCCUUCCCUCCACCGGAUCAGCCGGCUAGAAAAUAUGGAAAACCGAAACCUAAUAAUAGAGUUAAUUGGCAUUAUAGUUUUUGUGGUAAAGUGACUACGGGAGGGGCACAUCGUUUAAAACAACACUUAGUUGGUGGCUUUAGAAAUGUCACUAAAUGUCCCGAACAUGUGAGGGACGAAGUUAAGACUUUUAUGCUAAACAAAGUUCAAGAAAAAGUGGAUAGUCAAAUGAUGUCAAGUAUGUCCCAACUUGAAACGGAUGAUGUUGCUGAAGAAUAGGAAGAUGUUGUCACAAAACGUGAAAAAGUUGUUAAAAAACCUAGGCACAAAGGUCCUUUGGAUAUGUUUAUCACUUCAACUCCUAAAGACGCAAGCCAGGAAGGAAAGGAAAGGAAUUUUUGGUGCUUGUGAUAAUGAGUUAAGGGAGAAAACUUGUAGGACAAUUGGUAAGUGGUUUUAUGAUGCGGGAAUUCCACUCAAUGCGGCUACCUAUGCAAUGAUUGAAGCUAUUGGUCAAUAUGGUCCCGGAUUAAGACCACCAGUAUGUAUGAGCUUAGAGUUCCAAUCAUGAACAAAGAAGUGAAAGAUGUUGAGAUGCAAGUAGAGGAGAACAAGAAAGAGUGGGCAAGUAAAGGUUGUUCAAUUUUAUCCGAUGGAUGGCGUGAUUCGGUUGUCCAAAAGGAUAUUAUAAACUUUCUUGUCAAUUCUCCUAAGGGUUUUGUGUUCAUAAGAUCCUUAUAUGUUUCAUACGUUGUGAAAAAUGCAGUGUUAUUGUAUAAACUUCUAGAUAAGAUGGUGGAUGAAAUUGGAGAGGAAAAUGUUGUUCAAGAUGUGACGGACAAUGCAUCCAAUUAUGUCAAAGCCGGAAAAAAAAAUUUGAAUCUAAGAGACCUCAUCUUUAUUGGACUCCUUGUGGUGCUCAUUGUAUUGAUUUGAUGUUAGAAGACAUUGGCACAACGUUACACGGUACGUGGGACGUUUUGGAACGUGGGAUGGGAACGGGAACGGGGUAUGUAGGGUAAAGAGUUCCCGAAACGUAUGGCUCUAGUUCUUGAAUUUUUUUUUAAUUAGAAUUUCUUUUUUUUUAGUAGACUUUUAAACGUAUUGGACUUAAAUUGGAAAGUAAGUACUUCUUAAUCUACUGUUAAAAAUAAAUAUUGUACACUACUAUUAGUACAUAACUAAAAACUAGGCACUAAAAAUAAAUAAUAAUAAAAGGAAAAGAUAAACAGAUGCACAAUGAGGAAAAACUAGGCAGUAAAGAUAAAAUAAUAGUAAAAAGAAAAGAUAAAUAAGGAAGGGUCCACCAGUUUGUGUUUUAUUAAUUAGGUUAGAGUCAUUUACAGCCGUCAAUGACCUUCUUCUUCCUUCUACACACUUCUUGCUUCAUUUUCCUCCAUUAAUAAAACUUGAAGCUUUAAUUAAAUAUAAAAAACUCAAGAAAAUAGAAUAUUAUUUCGCCUAUAAAUGGAUACUCCAUCAAACACAAACCAGAACGCGAACCACCACGAACCGGAACGAGUAAGUUCUGCGUUUCGGGACACGCGUCCUGGUUCACAGAACGCGCCAUCGUCCCGCGUUCCGUGUAUCAAUGCAUUGGCAAACUACCAAGAGUUUUGAAUGCACUAAAGUAGUGCAUGUUCAUCAAUGGCUAUAUUUAUAGUCAUACCUCUCUUGUGAACUUGAUGAGGAAGUUCACAUAACAAAGAAAUUUGCAUAGGCCAUCAAAUACUACGUUUGCAACAUCUUUUAUUACACUAGCUCAAUUUCAUAAGCAAAAAGGCAACUUGAGAAAGAUGAUAACCUCUCAAGAAUGGAGUGCUUCCAAGUGGCAAAAAGAAGCAGGAGGAAAAAGAAUUGCAACUUAUAUUUUGCAAGCAACCUUCUGGAAGAAUGUGGUGUAUGCUCUUACGCUAACAAGUCCCCUUGUUAAAGUGCUUAGACUUGUUGAUGGGGAGAAAAAGCCUCCAAUGGGAUACAUUUAUGAGCUAAAGAGGCUGUAGCGAAGACUUUUGAAUUAAGAGAAGAGCACUACAUUAAGGUAUUUGAGAUCAUUGAUAAAAGGUGGGAUAAUCAACUUCAUCAUCCUUUGCAUGCAGCGGGUUUUUAUCUAAAUCCGGAACUUCAUUAUGAUCAUUCCGCAAAUGUAAAUUGUGAGGAAGUUUUGAAAGGAUUGAAUGAUUGUAUUGAAAGGCUAGUUCCGGUUGUGGAAACUCAAGAUAAAAUACUUGCAGAGUUGGAUGAAUUUAAGAAUGCUACCAGUCUCUUUGGUUGUACAAUGGCAAUUAGGCAAAGGAAGACCAAAUCUCCGGCGGAUUGGUGGUCGGCUUAUGGUGGAACAACUCCUAAUCUCCAAAAGUUUGCCACCAAAAUUCUUAGCCUCACUUAUAGGGCUACAGGUUGUGAAAGAAAUUGGGGUGUUUUUCAACAGCUUCAUUCUAAAAAGAGGCAUCGAUUGGCACAAAGUCGAUUAAAUGACAUGGUUUAUGUAAAGUAUAAUCAUGCAUUGCAACGGCAAUACAAGAGGAAAGACACUAUUGAUCCCAUUGUCUUAAAUGAAAUUGAUGAAAGCAAUGAGUGGCUACUUGGAAGAAUGGAAGACGAGGCAGAGGAGAAUGAUUUUGUAUUUGAAGGGGAGGACUUGACUUGGAGUACAGUUAGUAAAGCCUCCGAGCUAAUGAACCUUUCUAUGCUACUAGAGGAGCAUCUAAAGUUGAUAAAGGAAAGGGAAUUGCUAGUGGCUCCAUUUCUAAACCACGUCAUUCAAUUGUGAUAGAUGAUGAUGAUAAUGAGAAUUAUACUGAUGAGAUGGAAGAGGAUGUUAGUGGAGGUGAUUCUUAUCAAGAAGAGGAGGAUGUGCAUGAUGAUUCAUCGGAUGAGGAGAUGGAUUGUUAGUGUCUUAGUAUGCCAUAUAACACGCUUAAAGACCUACUAUGUUUGCUUUUCUUUCUACUUGAUUUACUUUUUAUGUUGAAUGUGUGAUUUGCUUUUUAGUUAAAGAGUUUCAUGCCAUUAGCGUCUUUUAAGGGUAUCUUGUAGUUCCUUUGUUAAUUUAUGCAUUCAUAAUAUGUUAUUUUGAUUAUUUAAGGCUUAUAUCUUGGUAUAGAAGUAAUUUAUAAGGCUUUGGGCACUUAUGGUGCGCCUCGUAUCCAAGAGGCGCGCGCCUCCGCUUUGCGCCUCGCGCUUAGGCUUCGAGGACCCUUUGCGCCUCGCGCUUUUUAAAACCAAGCUAAUGAGGCCUAUUUAUAGAAAAACUCUCAUAACAAACUCUAACUUAUUCUCCAAGCUACUAAUAAUAGGUUAUGACUAACAUACCCUUCCCCUAAUAUUGAUUCCUUGCACUUGCCACGUGUUUCAUUUUAAUUGGUCUGUUUCUUAAAAAAUAUAUAAAAAUAACAAAAAAAAAUUAUAAAAAAAAGAAAAGCGCCCUUCCCAAUCCCCCACAUGGACAAUCUCCAGUGCCAGGCAUUACACCCAUCCCGCCUUCCCCGUUGAAAGCAGCUACCCUUCCCUUUCUCACAAUAGAAACGGUGGAGGUGGGUUUCAAAGUGCAUACAAGUGUAGGAUUUCGAUUCAGUGCGUAAUUAAGUGUUCAAAAAUGGGGUGAGAUUUACUCCGGUGCGGUGGGUUUCAAACUUGGGUGGGAUUUUUGGCCAAUGUGCCGGUUUUCGGGAUCUGGUGGGGAUGGGGUUUUGGUUCGCGGCGUGGGAAUCAGGUUGGGAGGGAUGAAAUUUUAGGGUGGGGAUGAGUGUGGAGGUGGUUAAUGUGUGCUUGUAUUAGUAAGGGUUUCGGUAUGGUUUUGUUUAAUGAUGGGGGUGGGUCUCAGCCAAUUUAGUGGUAGGUGGGAUUCUGGGUUAGGGGUUUCGAGGUGGGGAGGGUCAGAUCAUUCGAUAGGUGCGGUUAUUGAGAUGGAGCCACGGAGGUUUGGUGGGGUUAGGAUUUUGGGGUUGCAAAGUGGUAAUGUUCAAGUAGUGCUCAUGGUGGGUUAUCCAAAGAAGAAGAUGAUGAGGUGGAAAAAGAAAGAAUAAAGAAUAAAAUUAUUUUGAAAAAAAUAAUAACUUGUUCAACAGGUAAAAAGGUUUAUUUUGAGAGGAUGGUGUUAAAAGGUGGGAUUGUUUUGAGAUUACUCAAAGGUAGGAUUGUUUCCGGCAGAAAUGUCAAAGGUGGGAUAUUCUUUUCCAUUUUUCCUUUUAUUUUAAGAAAAGAUGGAGAUGAAGCUGAAGUAUGGCUACUGGCUCGCUAUCAGGGAAGUGAAUGAAGGUUAGAGAUAACUCAGGCAAGGGUCUAAAAGACUCCAAGUGAUUACUUUUACUUUUGAGUUUGGCCCUACCUAAGAUAAACAUAAUGGGACAAUUUUGUAGUAGAACGACAAUAGUUAGGACUGAUAAUUUCAAUUUUUCCUUUCGACAUUACCACCCUUUUAAAGCUCUAUAAUACUACCCCUAUGUGCUUCUCUGUGUUUAUGUUUGUCCUACUUUGAGUAAAAUCUGUUUUUACAGUUGGAUUAUAUGAUACUACCAUCCUAUGUGGAUAGGUUUUUUUAUCUUUUAAACAAAUUAUUUUUUUUCUUUUAAUAAAAACAAGUUUAUUUUAGUAGCUAUAGUCCUAGUAUAAUUAGACUUCUACCAAGAAUUGGUUUAAAUGUCUAUAUUCAUUAUAGGCGUACGUUUUAUUCUUUUUCCUUAUGUGUUAAACUUUCCUAGGUUUAUUUAUAUUAGUAUAGGCGUGAUUUGUAAUAUCUAAAAAGCUAUUUUUCCUUUUUUUGUGUAAUUAUUUUGGCUAGGAACUUCAAAAUCCAGAAUAUAUUAUUCCAAAUUUAAUUACUCUUGCUUUUAUAAAACAAAGUUAGACCAAAAUCCUUAAUUUAGGCAAAUUAAACAAAAUUUAGAGAGUAACAUUGAAGUUAAUUUGUAAAUACCCAAAGCCAUUCCUAAAUCGUGAGUAAAGCCCUAGGUCAGAUUUAGAACCCUCAGUUUCCUUUUUUGCGAGUGAACCUUGAACACUUCCUGUGUGUUGUAAUGGUGCUCGAUCAUCAUCAACGCCAAACAGUCAACAACCUUAGCACUUUACAUCCUUCAAUCUCCCCCACAUGCUCCUUCCCUUAAAAACCAAAAAAAAAAAAAAAAAAAAAAAAAAAAAAAAAAAAAAAAAAAAAAAAAAAAAAAAAAAAAAAAACCACUUUUUUUCUUACUCUCCGUAAGGCCGUAGAGCAGAGUUGUACAGUGAAUAAUAGUCUUUGCUAUUAGUACUCCAACACAUGAUGCACAUGUGAAAUUGCUAUGGUAUAAGUCUUAAUAGUCCAGACUCCAGAACUUUGGUAUUAAAUAGUUUUUACUGAUUAAAAACUUCCACUUUCAUGAAUUAUCAAAUACAAAGUCACAUAAGAAUUUGCAACAAAAAUCUCCCAAUUCCCUUUCUAGUUUUAAUCUUGUAUGUAAGUUACAGAUUUUGUUUUCUAAAGUGUGACACUCACACUAAGGGGUUAAUUAUCAAAGGGAAAGGGUAUCAUUCCCUUUAUUGUUGUUUGUUUAUCCGUUUUUGUCAUUCUCUUUCCCCAUAUUUAUUUUUGAGUUUACUCAUUUUUAUUCCCAAUUGAUUCCUCACCCCCCUAGCCUUUUGCAUUCCCUUUCCCUAACCACCACUUCACCACCAGCCACCACCUUCUAACCUAUCUCCACCACCUAGCCGCCCACCGACUCCCCCGGUAAACCCUCAUCUCCCACGAAAAUAUUCCCCCACCACGACCACCCUCUCUUUCUCCUGUCCAGCCACCCCCCACAACGCCCAUCGCCGCCCCUCCCCCACCCCUCGCCGCCCCCUCCUCUCCAUCCCCCCCUCCAAAAACCAAUUCCUAAAAACCCUCCCCCACCAACGUAAAAACCCUAAAACCCCCUCCACCACGGAAAUUCCUUGCUCCAAUUGAAAAAAAAUUCCUUGGAGCCACCCACGGAAAUCCAUGAGGGGAGAUAUUCCAGUCUCCCUAUAGAAGAGAGAUCCGCCUUAUAAAUCAUAACCUUCUAAGACCUCCUUCAUGUCCACUGUCGCAAUACCACAAUUAUUAUACUACAAGCUCAAUGAAUCUUUUCAUAUUCAGUUCCGUAGAAUAAUAGUACAAGAAAAAAUGAGGUCACAUUUUAAGACCUUUAACAACAUCAAUUUGUUUCCUAUGUCACCUUUCAAGAACAAUACGCUAAUCAUGUUUAGUUGGCUUCAAUAAUUAGUCAUAAGCUAACUUCCCCAAAAAUUAAACAAUGGUGAAUUAGAAGAUGAUGAGUGACAUUUAUGCCACUAUUUCACCUCUUUUUGCUAAGGAUUGAAACACAUUUGUCACUUGUUUGCGCCUUCUCUAGCUAUUUUUACAUUUUAGUUAUAUUUGCUUUUUCUCGUGUUUUUCCUCUUCUUUUAGCUUUUCUUGUGUUUUCUAGCUUUACUAUCUUUGUUUUGUAGGUUUUUGGCACUUUAGGAUGAUGCUAGAUGACCAAUGUUUGGCUAAGGAGAGGAGAGAUGCUGAUUAGAGAGGGCGCGCUACCUCCCUAUGGACUGCGAGCGCGGUAGUCCCAGCCGUAGGCGCGGAAAAAAAGAGUUUUGGAGUUUCCAUUUGGAACCUGUAGAAGGCUGCCCGCGCCCCACACCACCGUGGACACGACAUUACAGGCCGCGGGCGCGGUUACCUGAUUUUGUCCUUAAAUUGCUUGAAAUUAUUGUUGUGCACCUUUAAUUCCAUUACUUGAGUACUAAAUUGGAUGCAUGGAAAUGAUCUAGUUUAGUGUUGAUCUAUUUCAUCAAUAUGCUUGAACAAUUGCAUGGGAAUGAAUUAUUUUGGUAGAAUUUAUAUUCCUUGG